UCCACCUGGCUUACCUCUCUGGUUGUUUGUUUAGGCUUGUAUCGUCUAAGCAGACUGUGGGUUUCCUGCGUUGCCUACCUAAGUUAUGGUAUUGUCCCGAUCGAUGAUAGUCGCUUUCGUCUUGUGCCGUACUCAUGGCAUCAGAUGAACCGUGAGGCAGUCUUUUUGAUCCACAUUGUUAAUGCUUGCAUUGAUGUUGUGGCCCAUUGAGCGUUGCUUGGUAUCUUGGGUAUGGAACAUCAUGUGGGCAUGGGUUCUCUCAUGGGAUCCUUGUUUUGCCCUCGGUUAGCGUUCGCGCGUCUCUUAAUGCGACUUGCCCAGCCCGCAUUGGCUCGUACCAGCGGGUGGGUUAUGUAAAGAGAUGCGUUUGUGCAACUCUCUGAACGACUUUCCCAGCCCGCAUUGGCUCGUACCAGCGGGUGGGUUUGUCAAAAGAGCUGUGCAUGUCUCAGAACGACCGCCCAGCCCGCAUUGGCUCGUACCAGCGGGUGGGUUAUGUCUAAGAGGAAUGCUACCUGGUUGAUCCUGCCAGUAGUCAUAUGCUUGUCUCAA
rnacentral:misc_RNA from 1 species